AGGAACCAGCCCCUCUGCUUAUCCACAGUCUGAGCACAGCUCAGACACCGUGUGAGCCCACGGCACUGAACUUAGGCUCGAACGGGAGGAAUUGCCUCUCUGCAUGAUGAGAGGGGAUUCAUUUUCCAUGCUAGCUCUUUC
rnacentral:sRNA from 1 species